rnacentral:rRNA from 1 species
UACGUAGGGGGCAAGCGUUAUCCGGAUUUACUGGGUGUAAAGGGAGCGUAGCCGGCUUUGCAAGCCAGAUGUGAAAGCCCGGGGCUCAACCCCGGGACUGCAUUUGGAACUGUAUGGCUGGAGUGUCGGAGAGGCAGGCGGAAUUCCUAGGGUAGCGGUGAAAUGCGUAGAUAUUAGGAGGAACACCAGUGGCGAAGGCGGCCUGCUGGACGAUGACUGACGUUGAGGCUCGAAAGCGUGGGGAGCAAACAGG